UUUAACAUAUCUUUUUGAGAUUACUUAUUUUAUCAUAAUUGUUUUUCCUACAUAUGAUACUGUAUAUAAGUACAUGUAAGAAGAAAACCUAAAACCUGAAGUAAGCACAAGUCCAAUGAAUCCUAACUUUAGAAACAACAAACUUGGGAUAUGAUGAGAUUUCUUGCAUCCUCUCAAAACUCCCAGUUAAAUCUCUUUUACAUUUGAAGACUGUGCAUAAAUCAUGGUGUUCAAUCAUCAAUGACCCCAGUUUCAUCAAGAUGCAAAUGGAAGAAUCGUCCUCCAAUGCUGAUAAUCAAAAAAUACUCUUAAUUUCAUCGAAAAUAAUUCCAUCUCCUAGUUUGGAUGAGAACAUGUUAGAUUUCAACAUCAGUUCAAUAAAUGCAUCAUCAAUGAGCAUGAAUUCUCAAGUUGUUCCUCUCUAACCACCAAACUUUCAUAUGUCCCAAGAUGUUUCAUAUCUAUUGAUGAGUUCUUGUAACGGUUUUUUAUGUAUUUUGUAUAGCUUCAAAAUGUUAUAUGGAAUCCAUCAAUUCAAAAAUAUAAAAUUGUCAAUAAGCUUAAUCCUUUGAUACGUGUGACACGUUAUGAAUCAACGCUUUAUGGUUUUGCAUAUGAUUCUAUUAGUGAUGAUUAUAAGAUAAUCCCUACAUUUGUAUUUAAUGCAAAGGAUAGUUGUCAUAUUGUAGGAAUUUAUUCUGUGAAGAAUCAGUCUUGGAAAAUGAUUGACACUAUUCCGGCUGGCUAUCGCUUGUUGGACCAAAAUGCAGUUUCAUUCGAUGGUACGGUUAACAUGAUGGCAGCUAGAUCACACGAAUGAAAUGAAGUCAAAUGAAGAUGUCAAAUUUUUCUAAUCGUCUCUAUCUUUCUGGAUUUGUUGAGAUGGAUUUCUUGGUUUGUUUGCGAGAGAAAGAUGGGGAAUGGUGGACGUGGAAAAGUGUCAUGAAGAUUCCUACAUUAGGCUCAUUGAUUGGCCUUGGGGUUCACAAUUUCUAUCUAGAUGAUAUCAUUUUCUUGAAAGAAAAUGAAAAUAUCUUGAGGAGGAAAACAUAUGGUGGUUUUCUAGAAUAUGAUGUGAGGAAAAAAGAAGUAAAUGAAUUUACCUGGAAUCAAAUUUCGCCUGCUACAGAUUUAUCCAUCUUGUUCACAGAAGAAUUCCGUGGGACUAGAAGUUUGUGGAAAGUUUAGCUUCCUUGAAAAUUUAUUGGAUCUAGGAAAUUUUAUUUUAAACCUGUGUCUUGUUGCAUUUCUUUAUAUAUUUUUGUGUGAUUAAUGAUGAUACUUUACCGUCUCUGAUGCUUAAAUUGUUUUAAAGAAGUUAGUAGCUUUCAUGAUUGUUUGUCAAAGUUGUUAUAUAUUUGACAUUAGCUCCUUCCAUUUUUUGAAUGGUUAAGUUAUAUUUUUUGAAAAUAUGAUGUAUUCUUGAAAUAAUGUGAUUUUACAUGUAAGUUCUAUGCUUCUAUUCCUAGAAGUAUACAGUAAAAUAUUUUUAACACUGUA